CCUACGGGGGGCUGCAGUCGAGGAUCUUCGGCAAUGGGCGCAAGCCUGACCGAGCGAUGCCGCGUGUGCGACGAAGGCCUUCGGGUUGUAAAGCACUGUCGAGAGGGAGAAAAGCGAAAGCUUGAUCUAUCUCUGGAGGAAGGGCGGGCUAAGUUCGUGCCAGCAGCCGCGGUAAGACGAACCGCCCGAACGUUGUUCGGAAUCACUGGGCUUAAAGGGAGCGUAGGCGGGCCACCAAGUCCGGGGUGAAAUCCUCCAGCUUAACUGGAGAACUG
rnacentral:rRNA from 1 species